GGGAAUCCAAAACAGAGCCAAAAGCGACACGAGCGACACCAACGUCCAGCGUCACGGAGUGUUUGGAGGGACUGAGCGGGACAUGCGUGAUUAGAAUGCUGUUUAGUGGAUACAAACUUUGACGAAACUGCAGGGAAAAAAAUUUGAGAAACAUACACACUUUGCUUGGUAUUCCUGCCUUGCGCCGCUAUAUCCUAGUAGGCCGUGAUCACGGAAAGUGUAAUAACAGCGCGGAUAUGGAUGUGGCAUCAAAUUUACCGGUGUCCGAAAAACGAGUGGUUCUAGCUUCACUCUCUACAGGAAAGUUCUACGAAGUUCCAGACAAAGAUAUUACUGGGCGAUGUCGGAUGGUAACCGAAUUCGAAAAGCUCAACCGCAUAGGUGAAGGGACUUACGGAAUAGUCUACAGGGCACAUGAUCUCAAAUCCGGACAGAUUGUUGCUAUGAAGAAAGUCCGUAUGGAGCAAGAGAAAGACGGCAUACCAAUAAGUGGUUUACGUGAAAUAAACCUGCUUUUGAACAUAAACCACCCAAACAUAGUCAACCUUAAAGAAGUUGCUGUGGGAAAGAGCCUCGAAAGCAUAUUUUUGGUUAUGGACUACUGUGAGCAAGACUUGGCGAGCCUGCUCGACAACAUGCAGAGUCCUUUCUCUGAAUCACAGGUGAAAUGUAUCAUGAUACAGUUAUUCAGAGGUCUCCAGUACCUUCACAAAAACUUCAUUGUGCACAGGGACCUCAAAGUUUCCAACUUGCUAUUAACUGACAAAGGCUGUUUGAAAAUUGCUGACUUCGGUCUUGCACGCAAGUAUGGUCUUCCAGUAAAGCCCAUGACUCCACGUGUAGUAACGUUGUGGUACAGAGCACCGGAGCUACUGCUUCAAGCAAAGACACAGACAACAGCAAUUGACAUCUGGGCUGCUGGCUGCGUUUUGGGAGAGCUUCUGCUUCAUAAACCUCUUCUGCCAGGUCGAUCAGAAAUCCAUCAGCUGGAACUGAUCAUUGACCUCCUAGGAACACCCAAUGACGUCAUUUGGCCGGGUUAUUCUAAGCUUCCAGCUCUGGAGAAUUUCACCCUGAAGCAACAGCCGUACAACAACUUGAAGCAUUUCUUCCCCUGGUUGUCUCCAGCUGGCAUUAGACUUCUAAAUUUUCUGUUCAUGUAUGAUCCAAAGAAAAGGGCUACUGCAGAAGAGUCCCUUCAGAGUUCCUACUUUACUGAGCCCCCCUUGCCAUGUGAGGCCGAGUUGAUGCCAUCAUUUCCUCAGCACAGGAACCUGAAGCGAAGUGGCAUGGGCAACUUAUCAGAAGACAGCUCAAGAAAACAGUUCAAGAAUGGAAAUUGUGGAUGAAGCAUCCUGAGUGGGCCCAUCCGACAGGCCUUGUCAGUAUAGUAGACAGCUCUGGUUAGCCUUGCAUGAAGAAGAUGCCUAAACUGCAUUGACCUAUCAGAUCUUGUCAUGUGAUGUGUUCUGUAAUAAAUGAUCCACUGACUGGA